rnacentral:lncRNA from 1 species
AUGUAACUAGGGGUUGGUGCCCUGUAUUACUGAAAUGAAAAUGAAUCCCCUGGACGAAAAGGUUCUACCUGGGUUAAAUUGCGAAAAGCGAGCCUGGGCGAAGAGUACUUCUACCCGGAAUAUAAGUUGGAUCUCCCUAGGCGAAAAGUUUCAACCUGGGUUAAACUACGUAAAACAGCCUGAGCGAAGAGUACUUCUACACGAAACUAUGAGUUGGAUCCCCCUAGGUGAAAAAGUUCUACCUCGGUUAAGCUACGUAAAACAACCUGAGCGAAGAGUACUUCUAC